AUACUCUGGUUUUUCUUCAGAUCGCAUAAAUCUUUCGCCUUUUACUAGAGAUUUCCAUAGAGGAUGUUUUCUUGGCAGACUUUUACAAGAUGGUUUGCCAUUGCCUUCCCCAGUCAU